CUAAGUAUAUACAAAAACCCCGUUUCCAGUCGUAUAAGAUUAUAACAAGGAUACGACAUUGCUAUGCUAUGCAUUCUGUUAUCGUGUCGCUUCGGGUAUUCAAACAAAGUUUCUUGGUUAAUAUCCUGUGCAAAAAUUUUUCCCUCGUCUUUUCCAACAAUCUCAAGGAUACAGCGGAUAUAAAACGCGGUAGCAUAACACAGAGCGCAGUAGUUGCAUUAAUGUUGCAAUAGAAGUAUGAACGACGACGACGGAAAAAAAAAGCAGAGGCAGUAUUAUAGUGAAGGCACAACUUAAGCCAAGAAAACGGAAUAUGUAUAUAAUUCCGGUGACAUUAUGAAAUUUUGUUUAAAUAGCUGAAAAAGUUAACCUGAAUUCGGAGAUUUGUCAUGGGAUUUUGCUUUUUCUAGCUUACGAAUGUGCACACAGGUUCAAGGUUGAAGACUUGGUUGGAAUGAUGGCCUUGCUUGACUGAGUGAUUCCGUAUUACAAAAUUAACAUGUUUCUUAGGGAAAGUUCUAUGUAAAAAAAUAAUAAAGGACUAAGUUGACGAAUAACAAGUUUUUAAGUUUCGCAUCAAUGUCGAAUGAAAUGCUUUGUGUUUUUCAACUUUUUCAUUUGAAGUUAUUGUAAACUGUCGGAUUAUUCAAAUUGGUUUAGACAUAAUAGAAUCAAGUUCCUGAUUUUUUAUGAAUCAAAAUGGUGCAGUAAAAUAAAACCCAAUGAAAAAAGG